GUUGUAAUUUGUAGAGGAUGCUUUUGGCGCGGUGCCUUCCGAGUUCCCUGGAACGGGACGCCUUAGAGGGUGAGAGCCCCGUACGGUUGGACACCAAGCCUCUGUAAAGCUCCUUCGACGAGUCGAGUAGUUUGGGAAUGCUGCUCUAAAUGGGAGGUAAAUUUCUUCUAAAGCUAAAUAUUGGCCAGAGACCGAUAGCGCACAAGUAGAGUGAUCGAAAGAUGAAAAGCACUUUGAAAAGAGGGUUAAAUAGCACGUGAAAUUGUUGAAAGGGAAGCGUUUGCGACCAGACCUUUUCCUAGCGGAUCAUCCGGUGUUCUUCACCGGUGCACUUCGCUAGGUCGAGGCCAGCAUCGGUUUCUGCAGGGGGAUAAAAGCCCAGGGAACGUAGCUCUUUCGGGAGUGUUAUAGCCCUCCGCAUAAUACCCUUGCGGGGACCGAGGACCGCGCUUUUUGCAAGGAUGCUGGCGUAAUGGUCGUCAACGACCCGU
rnacentral:rRNA from 1 species